AUGCAGGUGCAAAUGGCGAAUGUGACGAGGCUGUGCGGCACCAAGAGCAUAGUGACGGUGAACGGGGAGUACCCCGGCCCGGCGCUGCUGGCGAGGGAAGGCGACCGCGUCGUCGUCCGCGUCACCAACCGCGUCGCCCACAACGUGACGCUGCACUGGCACGGCAUCCGCCAGCUGCGGACCGGCUGGGCCGACGGGCCGGCGUACGUCACGCAGUGCCCCAUCCAGACGGGUCAGAGCUACGUCUACGACUUCACCGUCACCGGGCAGCGCGGCACGCUGUGGUGGCACGCGCACAUCUCCUGGCUGCGCGCCACCGUCUACGGCGCCAUCAUCAUCCUCCCCAAGCACGGCGUGCCUUACCCGUUCGCUGCGCCGCACAAAGAGGUCCCGGUGGUCUUCGGCGAGUGGUGGAAGGCCGACACGGAGGCGGUGGUCAGGCAGGCGCUUCGGACGGGCGGAGCACCCAACAUCUCCGACGCUUUCACGAUCAACGGGCUCCCUGGGCCGCUCUACAAUUGCUCUGCCAAAGACACUUUCAAACUGAAGGUGGAACCCGGGAAAACGUACAUGUUGCGCCUCGUCAAUGCCGCGCUCAACGAUGAGCUUUUCUUCUCCGUCGCCAAUCAUACACUCACCGUCGUUGAGGUCGACGCCGUCUACGUCAAGCCUUUCACCGUCAAGACCCUGAUCAUCUCUCCAGGCCAGACCACCAACGUACUCCUCACCGCCAAGCCGUUCCACCCCAAGGCCAACUUCUACAUGUCGGCCGCGCCCUACUCCACCAUCAGGCCUGGCACCUUCGACAACACCACUGUCGCUGGCAUCCUCGAGUACCAAAAGCCCGGCUCGCCCUCCGUGCCAAGCUUUGACAAGGACUUGCCGCUGUCCAACGACACCGGCUUCGUCACCAACUUCACCUCCAAGCUCCGCAGCCUCGCCACGCCUCAGUACCCGGCGGCCGUGCCACGGUCUGUGGACAAGCCGUUCUUCUUCACGGUCGGGCUGGGCACGCUCCCGUGCCCCGCGAACACUACGUGCCAGCAGUUCGCGGCGGCCAUGAACAACGUCUCGCUGGUGCUCCCUUCCACGGCUCUCCUCCAGUCGCACUUCACCGGCGUGUCUCGGGGAGUCUACGGGUCCAACUUCCCGGUCACGCCCCUCUUGAAAUUCAACUACACGGGGGCGCCGCCGAACAACACGAACGUGGCCAAGGGGACCAAGCUCCUCGUGCUGCCAUUCAACACGUCGGUGGAGCUGGUGAUGCAGGACACGAGCAUCCUCGGCUUCGAGAGCCACCCCCUACACCUGCACGGCUUCAACUUCUUUGUGGUCGGGCAAGGGUUUGGCAACUACGACGCCGUGAACGACCCCGCCAAGUUCAACCUCGUCGACCCGGUAGAGCGGAACACCGUUGGGGUGCCCGCCGGCGGGUGGGUGGCCAUUCGCUUCCUCGCCGAUAACCCAGGUGUAUGGUUCAUGCAUUGCCAUUUGGAGGUGCACACGACGUGGGGAUUGAGAAUGGCAUGGCUGGUACUAGACGGAAGCCUUCCGAGCCAGAAGUUGCUCCCCCCACCGGCUGAUCUCCCAAAAUGCUAG
rnacentral:rRNA from 1 species